GGGCAAUGAUGAAAAACACCAACACACACUAUCUUUCGGGGCUGAUUGGUGCACUCAAUGAGCCAUGCCGUCAAAUCUGCAAUACUAAUGUCC